rnacentral:rRNA from 1 species
GACGGAAGGUGCAAGCGUUGCUCGGAAUCACUGGGCGUAAAGGGUGCGUAGGCGGCCGUGCAAGUCUGGCGUGAAAGCCCCGGGCUCAGCCCGGGAAGUGCGCUCGAAACUGCGCGGCUCGAGUGCCGGAGGGGAGAGUGGAAUUCCCGGUGUAGCGGUGAAAUGCGCAGAUAUCGGGAAGAACACCCGUGGCGAAGGCGGUUCUCUGGGACGGUACUGACGCUGAGACGCGAAAGCGUGGGGAGCGAACAGG